CGCGUAGGCGGGACGACAAGUUAGGGGUGAAAGGCCUGGGCUCAACCUAGGAACUGCCUCUAAAACUGUCGUUCUGGAGUCCGGGAGAGGAUGGCGGAAUUCCCAGUGUAGAGGUGAAAUUCGUAGAUAUUGGGAAGAACACCGGUGGCGAAGGCGGCCAUCUGGUCCGGCACUGACGCUGAGGCGCGAAAGCGUGGGGAGCAAACA
rnacentral:rRNA from 1 species